rnacentral:misc_RNA from 1 species
CCCAUGUGAACAAGCGAUCAUCAGCUGGUCUUUGAGCCCUUUUCUCUGGCCUAUGCAGCACCUGAUCACUUGAACCACUAGCAGGAGUCUCUCUUGAUACCCUCACUUCUAUAGUGCCAGGAUUCACAAUGACUGGAGCCUCGGGCACUUCUUCGAUAAUUCUAUCACCUACUGCCAGAUGUUCAUUUGGAUGUGCAGCUAUGGCUCCAUCUUCUUGC